ensembl:lncRNA
CUAAGCCAAUGUGGCUGCUAAAGCUGAAACAAUACAGGCACGCCUCUGGAAGGGAGGAAGGAAGGAGAGAAGGCAAGACGUUGCCUCAGUCUGCCACAUGCCUCUGAAGACAUGCAGUGUCCGGGGUGUAAUUUCCCCCUGUCUCCAGCUGUGGUCAGUGACGUGUGCUUAAUCGUGCAGCACUUCCUCUCUCUGCCCCUCGUGACCACCCAACUUGAGUCAGAUAGAUGGAGAGGGAAGGACAGAGUGACCAAGCAUCAAGUUACUCUCCUGGACGGUCCAGUAUAGAGCACUGAGCACCCGCUGGGCCACGGUGGCAUGUUAAUCUCCCCCUUCAUGAUGCUCCUCACCACUGUGCAGCUCCUACCCUGCCAGAUGGUCCAUCAGGAAGUGAACCCAGUGGUAGCCCCUGCUCCAUCCCUCUCGGUGCUGCAGGCAAAGGAGGAGUAUUUCCUUGGAGAUGCUGUUACGCUGGUGUGCACCACUCCCCCCACCAUCACCGGGAAGCGUUUGUACCAACUUUUUGGUGAGGCCGGCUGGGCACUAUCAGAGUUUAGCUGCAGGAACAACUACACCCACAAGUUCAUCCUCUCCCAAAUGCAGCAUAGGGGGCCACAUUUCUGCAGCUACAGCCUGCAGAAAGCCCAGAGGUCAUUCAGAUCCCCACCCAGUGAAAAACUGAUGAUCAAGAUUGAGGAACCUCUUCCCCAACCACUGCUGAUGGUGGAGUCACCACUGGGAGAGGUUAUGAGAGGAGAUCUCCUAAGAAUCAUCUGCAAGGCCCCUGGAAAUGCCACUGAGCGGAGGUUUCACUUCUACAGGGAUGGGGGAGAGUUCCCCCCCAGGAAGGCAGGUUCUGAGAACAACACAUCUGAGAGAGAGGACAUUUUGAAGAAUGCCAUGGUCCUCCACUUUCUGCAUUCUGGCCCCCAACACAGUGGAAACUUUACCUGCAAGUAUGAGGAAAAGAUACAUGGGAGGUGGAUCCCCUCCCUCACAAGCCAAGCCAUGAAUGUCAAUAUUAAUAGCAACAAGAGAGGAAACAGCUGCUUCCUCCUUUUACGGUUCUUGGUUGUGGGUGGCUGCUUCUUCACUGUCAAUGGCCUCAUCCUCCUCUUCUUCCGGAUGUGGGUGAAAGAUGAAGACUCCCCAUUACAGUCUGGAGACAGACUCACCAGGACCUCCCAAACAGCCUGUAGAUCCCUGUCCACCCUGCAACCCCAGUCCAGCACUCAGCAUCAUGAGUAUGAGCAGGAUGAGUGAAAGAAGACAUGUUGGGCAUUUCCAGCCCCUCAAGACCAAUCCCCAUGUAUGACACAUCCAGAAAGGUUGAUAUAUCAGACCCAGGCUGUAGGAUAAAGCAAGAACUGUUUCCUGGGAGAAAAGAAGUGGGAGAGAGAGUAGAAAAGGGUUAUCAUUUUACAUGGGAAAGGGGGGGGGAGUAGGGAGACAAAGGUGGUAAGAGGUGUGAGAGAGAAACAGGAAAUCAGUGAAAGAAAGAGAAGAGGAGAGAGUGAGAAAUGAAAAAUAAAGAAAAUGAGAGAAAAAAGUGAGUGAAAAAG